CAACCGUGGGUUUUGCUGAUUUUGCGAUUCACAAAGGUGGUUUCAAAUGAAACCAUGGUUUCAACCGUGGGUUUUCGGCAUGAUUUUGAGUCAACUGUUUUAGGUGGUUUCAAACCGUGGGUUUUAGGAAAACCAUGGUUUUUAGGCACAUUGACCAAUCACAGAACAGUAUUUCGGUACAUUGCUGAGCUAGCUAGCUAGCUGAGCAAGUGCAUAGACGAUCGACGAUAAAUAGCUUUGCACGAAAUGAAGAGGAGCAAAGCGUUUAAUAUCGGUAUUUGCCGAGCUGUGAGAACAUCUAAAUUUUUGAAUGGAUGAAAACAUCUUACAACAUGCACAGACUGUCCUGAGAGACUAUUAAAUGAGGAUUGUUAGAGAGGAAUAUGCCAACAAGAACUGCAAUUAGGAGUCGUUGACAGGAAACUUUUUAAAAGAGACCACACACUACCUCAUCAACAUGCUUGAAGAUGAUCUGAGCCUGAAGAGGGACAAAGGGCCUAGUGAUAGACUACCUUUCUCUCUGCAAGUAUCAACAAUUCUGCUUUUGUAUGCUGUAUUUUUUUUAAUAAGAAAGUUAUAUGACAAUAACAUCUCAAGACAAGCCUAGUGUAUGCAAAUAUUAGUGAUAUUCUUGUAAGAAGGAAGACUCAAUGUAAAAAGUGAUAAUAAAUUUUGGCAACUGCCUGUUUUUAAUUUAAAAUGAACUGAGCAUAUGAUAAUACAAUCAGAAAUGUAAAUUAGAACUAUAUGUUUUGUCAUCCAUUGUGGACAGAUUUUUCCGAAUCCCUAAUUUACAUUAAAGAAAAAAUAUGAGAGGUUGCAUCAUUAUCUUGG